GCAUCGGUGGCUUAGUGGUAGAAUGCUCGCCUGCCACGCGGGCGGCCCGGGUUCGAUUCCUGGCCGAUGCA
rnacentral:tRNA from 1 species